GACAAGAGCAAGAUUCUGUCUCAAAAAUAAAAUUUUAAAAGUUCUGCAAUUCUGCAUAAAGAUAAAUGCUAUUUGUUCCUGGGGGCUGGGGUCACCAGGGAGGCUUCCUGGAGGAGGAGGCAGGGCUGAGGAAUGGAUGGCAGCAGAGAGUAUUUGUGGGUGAGGCUAUGGUGCUGCUGGAGAGGCAGGGUGUGGCAGCUUGGGCUGGGGCCAGCAGUGAGCUUGGAAUUCCCCAGGGCUUUCCAGAAGCCAGAAGGCCGGGGCGGAGUGGGUUGUCCAAGAGCUUGUCUUGUCCUCUUGCCCUGGCCACAGCCGGGAAGCCCUGGGCAGGCGCCCGUGGAUAGCUGGCACGCUCAGCCUUUGGUGGAGAACUGAGAAAGUCUGAAGCAGGAAGGUGGAAAAACAUUUCGUGCUCAGGGAGGAAACGUCUUCACCCCGGUUUACAGGAUGACACGUCAGCAGGGCCCUCACCAGAUGCUGGCCCCUUGAUCUCAGACUUCCCGGCCUCCUGCGCUGCCAGCCUAAUACACUUCUCUUCGUUGUAAAUUACUCAGUCUGUGAUAUUCUGUGAUAGCAACAGAAAACAGACGAAGACGCAGGCCAAGGCAGAUCAAGAUACUGGCUCCGGUCAAAUACUGUGUUUCGACGUGAUUGACAGGCGAAGGCUUAAGGAAAAGGAAGAGGAGAAAAAAAGGGGAGGACGAUCAAGGAAAAGAGGAGAUAAAAGUGGACAACCCAGCCGGGCGCGGUGGCUCACGCCUGCCAUCCCAGCACUUUGGGAGGCGGAGGUGGGCGGAUCACGA
rnacentral:lncRNA from 1 species